GUUCCUAUCGAUUAGUGGUCAGAUCAUCACGUUGUGGUUGUACCAAGUGUACAGCGAAACCGUGGGGACGGGGGCUCGAAUUCCCCUAGGAACA